UUUUGUGCCAGCAGCUGCGGUUAUUCUUUUAAAUAGAGCUCUAUUCUUCAAACUGUAUAAAUAAAGUUCUAAUUUUCUGUUAUAAGAAUUAAAAGACUAACUUUAUUAAAAUCUGAUGUCUAAAAUAAUAAACAAAAUUGGAUUAGUACCCAAGUAUGUAAUUUCUUUUAGGUAUUAAAAUUAAACCUAAACUGUCUGGCAGUUAUUUAUUCUUUUUAGAGAAUUUUGGUUUAUAAAUUGAUACCCCACAAUUUUAUUUACUGGGGCCAUGUUUACGUGUGGUUGUUUAAAAAUAAAUCUCAAAUUAAAUUUUGUCCAAAUAACAUGUAGCUUGCCACAGGAAUAACUGAAAUGCUUUAGCACAAACUAAUGUAGCUCCGGAUUUAAUAGUAGGCUAAAUCUGUCGAACAAGUUAUAAACAAGG
rnacentral:rRNA from 1 species